GGUGCCUUCAUGUAUAAAAAGGAGGGGGUGUGUGCAUUAGGAAGCAUGAGAGGCUAAGAUGCAAUUUAGAGAAAAUUGCAACUUUGGGCCCAAAGGUUUGAAUAAUUAAAUUCAAACCUAUAGUUUUUUUUUUAAUAUAAUUUUGGGACUCACAAUCCCAUUUUUAUAUUAUUUUUCUCUCUUCCUCUCACGUUGCUCGGCGUUUUCUCGCAAGGGGGGAUUAUUUUCUUUUUUCUUCAGAUUAUAUUGACAAAGAUAGUGGUGAAAAAGGAGUUGUGAAGGGGAACUUGUUAUUCAAGACACAAGGAGCGAGUCCGGCCGAGAAAGCACCAGAGGUGUAACUGUGGUGUAUGAGACACCAUCUUUUACGUUGCCUCUUAUUUUAGAUUAUACAAUGUGUCUUGUGCCAACUUAGGACAUAUCUUCUUU